ACCACCGGUCGCCAGGCCAGGCCAGACCCGCCAGCGUGGGCCGGCCAAUUCUCCUCCUCCUGGGUGUGCCAGCCAAUCAGCUGGGCUGCCGGGAUGCAUUUUCCCCAGGCACACCUAGGAGAAAUAUAUAUAUAUAGAUUGCACUUGGCCUCCCACUAGAAAGGACCAUAUUGAUAGGCACUGGCACAUCUUUAUGGGGCAGGCCCAUUUUCAUGUUUUGUCUACGUUUGGUAAUAAUGUACUCUCUCAAGCUACACAGCCACAACAGCUGGUCAGUUCUGCAAUUGAAUGGCAGCAGGUGGGGAGAGACAAAUGUUCCUGGGUCCCCAGAAUCUGAUGGAUGACAGCUUGCUCUUUGCUCUACUUUGUGCCUCAGUGAAGAAGAUGCGGGGAGCAGGAUCCAUCUUCAUUUUUUGUCCAGGACCCAUUCCAACCUGACUGCAAGUAUGAGACAUUCAGUAAUGAUUCAAAAGAAAGUAUUAGGGCAUGGAACCGGCUAGUCUGAUUCGGUUCAAGUCUGAACUGGACACAAACCAGACCGGGCCUGUUCGGUCUGUCACCCCCUUGAACCUCCCGGGUGUGUGUGUCACAAACCAGUUUUUAAAAAUCUUACCCCAUCAGGAGGGGGUCUCCAAGGCAGCGGGUGAGCAGUCUGUGGAGGUUCCCCUCCCCCUGAUGGCCAUAAAAAAAUGGCCUCAUUCAGCUGUUCUUUGGCCCAUUCAGGCCUUUACCCUAUGUGGUGGCCAUUUUGGAGGCCUCCACACCUGCACAAUAGGCCUCUGUGUGGCCUGGGUUGGUGAAGAAUGGUCAAACAGAGCCAUUUUUGAUGGUGGGAAGGUUGGUGGGGGGAGGGGGAACCUCCACGGACCUCCGCCGCCUCAGAACCCCCCCCCCAGAAGAGGGUGAGUUUAAUCUUUUUUUAAAAACAUUGUUCGCAAACCUCCCGAACGGGCCGGAGGGGGUUCAGUACGGUGUCAAGCUCGGCCCCAAGCCUUCAAACCAAACCAGUUCAACUUCAGACUGGUUUUGAACCGUUUGAACAUCCCUAGAAAGUAUUCCAACUAGUUUGACCUUAGACUGGAGUCAAGCCUUGAAUCAAUCAAUUAAAGAACUACACUGGCUGCCAAUACGUUUCUGGGCAAAAUACAAGUUGCUGGUUAUUACCUAUAAAGCACUAAACAGCUUAGGCCCUGGGUAUUUAGGAGAACAUCUUCUUCACCAUGAGCCUCACUGCCUGUUGAGAUAAUUUAAAGAGGUUCACCUGCAGUUGACGCCAACACGUUUGGCAGCUACUUGGAAACGGGCCAUCUCUGUUGCUGCCCCUUGACUUUGGAAUAAGAGUCUUUCAAUCUCUGGCAACUUUUAAAAAGCUGCUGAAGACACAUUUUUUCACCCAGGCUUUUACUUAGAUUUAUAUUUUAGAUUUUUAAUGUUAAUGUUUAAAUGAUUUUAAUUCUUUGAUUUAGCCUGUUAAUGGAUUUUAAUUGUUUUUAUUUGCUGUAUAUAUAAAUCAAAUUAAAUCAAUAAAGUAAGUAAGUAAAUAAAAUAAAUAAAUAAAUAAAUGCUUUCUACAGAUUUGGGGGCCCCACAGCAAUUGGUCCACCAGAAACCUUAGAGAACUGCUCUGCUGUGACCACAUAAAGGCUAUGAGCACAGAAAUGGACUCAAGAAUCAUCAGUGGGCAAUUAUGAGGGCCCUGAGGCUGGAGAAACUGAUCAGCAACAUUCUCCCUGCAUUGUAUUCCAGAGUAGCAACAGACAGAAAGUAGAUUGGGAUAUACAGUAGAACCUUGUUAUUUGCAGUUCCACUUAUUCACAGGUGUCUAAUUGACACCCGUUUUCAUUAUCCAUAGAUACAAAGGGGUUAAAUCCACGUAUCCACAGUUCCUAGAGGGCCAGAAGUAAAUGCAGAGGUAACUUCCCACCGCCAUUUUGUGAGGAGGAGCCAUUUUGUGGCUCUUUAAAAAAAAAACACACACACAACCUUCCCCCAUGAUUUUUCGUGGUUUGGGGGGGCAUUUCGUGGGUGUGGCGGCAUUCCUGGGUACAUGGGAGCAUGUUACAGUAAACAGUUUACAUUAUUUUCAUGGUUUUUCCACUGUUUUUAGCAUUUUAAAAAAAUGCAUUUUAAAAAACCAUUUCCCCCCAUUACGGAACCUAACCCCCAUUUCCCCGUAGGCAUAAUGCCUUGUUACGGUUUCGUUACUCGUGGUAGUGAGUGAGGAAUGAAACACCCAUGAUCAACGAGAUUUUUACAGUGUUAAUAGAUCACUAGGUGAUUUGUGGUAGGUCAGCAAGGGUUUCCAGCUCCCAAGUGCUCCCUCCUCCAUUUAAUUAAGCUGCUGAAAGCCUGGGUAAAAGCCAGUAGUAGACUUUUGUGUGAAAGGAUUGGGAGCACAGUUCUGAUACUAAAAUUUAGUCAUUCAUUCAAUUUAUUCACUGCCCUGCCUGAAGUGGCUCAGGGCAGUUUACAUUAAAAUCAAAAACACAGAAUAAAACAAAACAUUUAAAAUCAAGAAACAUUUAAACCAGAUUAAAUCUUAUUAAAACUAAAGUUAAAUCAAGAUGAUAUUAAAAGCCAACCUGAAGAGAUUUUUUAAAAAUAUAUAUAUUAUAUCCCGCUCUUCCUCCAAGGAGUCCAGAGCAGUGUACUACAUACUUAAGUUUCUCCUCACAACAACCCUGUGAAGUAGGUUAGGCUGACAGAGAAGUGACUGGCCCAGAGUCACCCAGCUAGUUUCAUGGCUGAAUGAAGAUUUGAACUCGGGUCUCCCCGGUCCUAGUCCAGCACUCUAACCACUACACCAUGCUGGCUCCCUUUAAGGCUCCCACGAAGGCCACAGUCCAUCAUGUGGAGCCCAUUCCACAAGCGAGGGGCAGCCACAGAAAAGGCCCUAGUACUAGUUGGUCUGUCUUUUAAUAGUACAUCAAGGUCCACCAGCUGAAACCAGGUGCAAAAUAGUGGCUAUGGGGUUAGGGGGGCAGAGAAACACAAAACAGAUCCCAUAGUCUGAAGCAUACUCUUGCAUACUGUGGCUCACUUUGCCCAAGUUAACUGUAUCACAGUUGGUUUUUUAAAAACAUAUUUACUUUUAUUCUUAAUCGCAAAAAUACGGUUUAAUGGAGGAAAACAUUCUAUGCCCUAAGAGAGUAAAAUUGCUGGAACUUUCUUUCUUACCAAUAAACAUUUGUCGAAUAAUACAGCUAUGCAUAUUAAUUUCAUUACUUUUACAUUUUACUUACAACUAUUCUUUUUCCUAAGGCUUGCAGUCAUGCAGUAUGUGAUGUCCAACCAGUUCUGCUCAUGUGGCUAUGACUACAUGAAUCUCACUAAAAUUAAUGGCCAUGAGCAAGAUCACUGUAUUAACGUUUAAAGGUAAUGGUUAGAGCCAGGCCUAGUGCUAGGAAAGUAGAAAAGAGUUAAGCCCUAGUUCCUUUAAUAAACAUCAUGAACAUAUUUUCUUAGAGCCUAGAAGUUAGAAUGCUACAUUUCAUAUUAAUUUUGCUCUAGGCAAGAAGCAGUAGCUUGAUAAUACAUAAAGCAGUGUGCCAGGCAUUUUAUAAAGCACUGUUAAACAAGGACAUUUUAUUUUUAUUUUCAAGUUAUUAUACAGAACCUAAUAAAUAUUUUUUCCCCUUUCAAUUGAGGCUGGUUGCUGUUAAAGGAAAGGUAACUAAACAGAAAUGAAAUGUCUCAGGCUUAGUGCCCAUAACAUUCAUUUAUAGAGCUACAGAAUCGUGUCAAUUUUUUUUUUAAGGGAAAAGGCUAACAUUACUACUCCUAACAGUACUAUUGAAUUAAAUCUAUAUAUACACACAUACAUAAAAUCAUAGGAAGUUAUAAAAAUGUUGGCAGAGAUACUCUAUAUCCACAUAGGAAAAUACAAGGAUAUAAGAUUAUUAAUAAUGCUUAUAUUUUUAAUAUGAAAAUACAGCAUCUUUGCCAAGUGGCUUAGAAUUUUUGGUGAUAACAUUAAUACAAAACAGACUAUUUUUAUCCGCUUUUAUCUGGUCUUAAAGGAAGCUUCCAUGCUUCCAAGCCAUUUAGCUUACCAUAUCACUCCAGCUCUAUAACAGGAGAAUGCAUAGCUGCCAAACUAAUAUUUGCUACAGGUUCUUCUUCAGCAGCAGUAGUAGUAGUAGCAGUAGUCGGUCAAGAGGCGACUUCCCCAAUCCUUGCCUCCAUAGCCUUGCUUAAAUCCAUAUAAACUUAAAUCAAUUAACAUCAGCCUAUGAGAGCUAUGCCGAAGGAUACUGACAGUUAUCUUAUUCUGCCACAAGACAUGAAGCAUAUAAUGAUUAUAACAAUGGUUCAUCUAGUACACCAUCUAAUUUGUGAUAUCAAAAAAACCCCAAAAAACCCACCCGAACAUUUGUUAUGUUCGAUGAAGUAACAAAAUUUAGUAGGGAUGUGCACUGAAAUCUGAGGACAAAUAAAUUUGAAUCGAACCGGACAGAUUUGAUCAUUUUGACCUCAAAUUGAAUCACCCUUGGUCUCAAUGGUGAUUCUAGAAGUCUAAUUGAAUUGGCCAUGAUUUAAUUAAAUAGAUGUGUUGAUUCAAAGCACCAUUUUGUUUGCCCGUUGUACUGCUUCUGAUUGGUUUUUUGGCACUGACUACCGAUUGGCUGGAUAACUCCUUGAUUCUUCAUUGGCUAGUUAUGUUUCAAAUCUAUGGUUGGCAUGGACAGCUGUGCCCCCAUUGGCUGGAGGGAGGGAUGAGGAACAGGGGUGAUAGAAGGAAGAAAUUUCAAAAUGAAUAUAAGGGGACUCUCAGAGGCAGCCUGGCAUUGCCUUUUCUACCUUUGGGAAGAGGAGGACUCCUCUUGAAAUAUACUGCAUUGCUGCCUGCCAGCCUGCCUGCUACAUAGGAUCAGACUGCUGCUGCCUGCUGUGUGGGAUCCUGCCUGCUGCUGCCUGCCUGCUCAGAAAGGAUUUUUGAAAUCACUGUGAAAAAAUCACUGACUCUGAGCAGCUUAGGGCUCUUGUCCUGAUUCCUGCUGUGCCAGCCAGGUCUUUUUGUGGACUGCUGGAAAGACAGAGCCUGUGCCUAUAUGCCCCUUCCUCACCCUUCCUUUGUGUGUGGCGGAACCGUGGGGAUGGAGGCAGAAGGCUGGGAGAAGCGGGUGGCUGCCUGUGGCAGAUGGAGGCCCAUCAUGACACGGCUCAUGCCAGGCGAUGGUGGUGCUGACAACUCACCUGCCUGUGGCCUUCUGAAAUGGCCUCUACAGGGCGACUGGGAGAUCAUCCCAGCUGUUGGUGAGACUUUGUGAGAUGCUAGGAGCCUGGAUGGUCUGAGGGGGCCCUUCUGGGGCAUGGAAGCCCCUGAACUCGAGGGGAGAGAGGACACAACUGCUGUUUUAUUUUAAAUAGUACCAGCACCUAGUGACUUAACUUGGUGCUGUGCUCCCCCUUUAUCAUCUGGCUGCCCUCCAACUUUUAUUUUCUCAUUGUUUGGGGUGACUGGGUGCCUGUCCAUGGCGCUCAGCUCCCCUCCCCCCCAGCUGUCAAGUGCCAGUGUCUGCUUCUUGGCCUUAUUGCUUGCAGCUCCUUGUCAGACUUCAGCUGAAGACACCAAAAGAAGAUUUCAGCUCACAUCAGACUCUUAUUCAUCACUUGAACAGAAAAGUGUAAACUUGAAGUUGACAGAUGGAAUGAAUUAAGGACUUAUUACUCCAGAUAUGUAUCAUGGUGCUAUGCUCUGUGACUUGUACAGAUGCCUGAGAGGGGAAAUCCAACAGGUUUUGAAAUAUGGCACGAAAUGUAUGUCAGAAAAACAAAGUUGCUGAUAUGAAUUAGUGGGAUAGUUUCCCUAAAUCUUGAAGUAUUCUGAUACAUAAAAUUUGGUCUACCUGGAAAUAUUGGACAUUCAGUACAACUGCACAUAAAAUAUAAUGUUCAAACAAACCUCCCAAUACAGGGUUUUAAAAAAAAUGUUAUCAUCACUCAGUGAAUCUGAUAUAGUCACUGAAAUAUAAUAAUGAAGGAUUGUCCUAUACAUCAUAGUAUGUUCUCUAGAACUGUACACAACUAAUUCUAGAAUUAGUACUAGUCCUCUAGUACUGUAUGCUACUUUAUGGAGUUCUAUGAAACAGCAGAAUAUAAAUUUUAAAAGUAAGUAGAGUGAUAUAGGGAAAUAUAAGUGGAGAAUGGAAAAGUACAAAUAUUCAUGCAUGUAAGUUGUUUAUGUGAUGAUAAAAUGAAGCAAAUGGCUUUGUUUUAUCAUCAUACACUUUCACUGCUCAUGAUAGUGAAAGUGGUUAUCAUUCAGUAGUUAUCAUUUUUGGAUGAAUAUAUUACGACUCAUUGAUUUUAUAAUAUGAAUAAAAUCAAUGUAACUGUGACAUUCAGUUGAACGUUUUAGGCUAAUUAAUUAUAGAAUUAUGCAAAUAGUCCUAUUAUUUGUGAAAAUCCUCCAAAUCACAUGAACAUUUAUUUAUUUGCUUAUUAAAAUACUUAUCUUCCUUUUCAUUAAAAGUCUUCAAGGCAGCAAACAAAGCAUAUUUAAAACAAUAUGAAAACAUGUGAUGUAAUCAAAUGACACAGCAAUUUUGUUUGUUCACAGCUAUUUUAGAGGGAAAUUAGCUACAUUAUAACUUAUGUUUUAAACAGCAAUACAUGACUUGAUGCAUAUUAAGAGACAAACAAAAAGACACAUCUAGACCAAAAUAUGGCUUCCUUUCUGAGAUGUAUUAGGAAUUUAUUUUCUGUUAUUUCUUAAUUCUAAUUCUGCCAAGUCCACACAUUAAUUUUCUCCUCAAGCUUCCCAUCUACAGAUCUUAAAGAUAUUCAAACAAGUAUAAGAAGCCUUUAGGCAAUAAGAUGAAACAACAGCCUAAAGAGAAAUCUGAGAAGAGCAACCUAAAUAAUAAUAGGGAAAAUAUUUUAUUCUGAUUUUUUCAAAAAUCCAUGUUGUACUCGAGGACAUCAUAUAUAAUACAUUACAAAAGAUUUGCUUCAAAUGGCCUUGAAAUCAUGUUAGUCAUAGAUUAUGAUGGUAUCCAUAACAAGUAUGGGUAUACAUAGAACGGAAUUAUCUGAAGAAAAGGAAGUGGGCUACCUAGAAAUAAGCAAUUAAAUUAUGGAAACAUG